CCCGCGCGCCGCCGCCGCCCGUGGGCGCCCCCAGGCCCCGCGGCCCCUAGCCCCCGCCACCCCGGCGCCGGCCCCUCUCACCCUUUCAUUCUCUGCCCGGGGCCUGACGCGGGCCGGCGAAUCCCCGGCCUCACAUCAGAGUGAGAGGCGCUGGCAAUGGACUCGGAAGCUCGGCUGCCGCUGCUACUGCUCUCCCCUGGGCUCCGGCGAGAGCCUUUCCCUGUCAAGCAAGAGGGGUGAGGAUCAUAUUUUUAUUUUGGAAACUAAAAAGUGCUCCCAGGGUCGGUGAUUAUUAAGGGGAAAUCCCUGAAUAUACUCUCCAGCCAAGAAGGCAGGGCUGCCGGGGCUGCACAAGAAGAGGCAGCAGCCUCCUAUAGCACCACUACAGGCACUGCGAGGACAUAACACCAGAGAGCCGCUCCUCUGCCCUCCGAAACGACAACUUUCCUACCAUCUUGGAGGCAGAGGAAAGGGGGGCCGGGGGGAAAAGUGCACCCGCUGCCGAUAAAGUACACACUUCUACUUCUCAUCUCUGGAAAAAAGUCCACACCGGCCGUCUACACCGGCGCCUGGGGGAGAAAGCAGGGAAGAAACUGGGGGCGCUUGAGAAACGUUUUCAGUUGCUCCACGGGGAAAAAUGUUUCUGCAUCUUCUGAUGGGAAGAAAUCUUGACAGGACACAGGUUUUCCGGUCCAAGUUCUGUGUCUGGUGGUCAGUUUAUAAAUUUGUGCUUCAAGAGACUUCAUAGCCACUCUGUGUCCAUUUGUCUGUUUAUAUGUUUUUACAGGUAUAUUUACAGGUUGCCUUCUGUAUAAAAAUGGGGAUUAUAUAUUCCCCUCAAAACUGAGAUUGCUGAAAGACCAUUGUAAAGGGAUGUCUUUUGUCUCCUUUUUUUUCUCAAAGCAAUGUAAAUAAAACCUACUGACUGUCCAGAAA